GACGAACGCUGGCGGCGUGCUUAACACAUGCAAGUCGAACGGAAAGGCCUCAGCUUGCUGGGGUACUCGAGUGGCGAACGGGUGAGUAACACGUGGGUGAUCUGCCUUGCACUCUGGGAUAAGCUUGGGAAACUGGGUCUAAUACCGGAUAUGAACUGCCUUUAGUGUGGUGGUUGGAAAGUUUUUUCGGUGCAAGAUGAGCUCGCGGCCUAUCAGCUUGUUGGUGGGGUAAUGGCCUACCAAGGCGUCGACGGGUAGCCGGCCUGAGAGGGUGUACGGCCACAUUGGGACUGAGAUACGGCCCAGACUCCUACGGGAGGCAGCAGUGGGGAAUAUUGCAAAAUGGGCGGAAGCCUGAUGCAGCGACGCCGCGUGGGGGAUGACGGCCUUCGGGUUGUAAACUCCUUUCGACAGGGACGAAGCUUUUUGUGACGGUACCUGGAGAAGAAGCACCGGCUAACUACGUG
rnacentral:rRNA from 1 species